UACGUAGGGAGCAAGCGUUGUUCGGAUUUACUGGGCGUAAAGGGCGCGUAGGCGGCCAGCACAAGUCAGUUGUGAAAUCUCCGGGCUUAACUCGGAAAGGUCAACUGAUACUGUGCGGCUAGAGUGCAGAAGGGGCAACUGGAAUUCUCGGUGUAGCGGUGAAAUGCGUAGAUAUCGAGAGGAACACCUGCGGCGAAGGCGGGUUGCUGGGCUGACACUGACGCUGAUGCGCGAAAGCCAGGGGAGCGAACGGG
rnacentral:rRNA from 1 species